AACGAACGCUGGCGGCAUGCCUAACACAUGCAAGUCGAACGAGACCUUCGGGUCUAGUUGCGCACGGGUGCGUAACGCGUGGGAACCUGCCCUUAGGUUCGGAAUAACUCCCCGAAGGGGGUGCUAAUACCGGAUAAUUUCUUCUGACACAAGAUUUAUCGUCUUUGUAUGGGCCCGCGUUGGAUUAGCUAGUUGGUAGGGUAAAAGCCUACCAAGGCUACGAUACAUAGCUGGUCUGAGAGGAUGAGCAGCCACACUGGGACUGAGACACGGCCCAGACUCAUACGGGAGGCAGCAGUGGGGAAUAUUGGAAAAUGGGCGAAAUGCUGAUGGAGAAAGGCCGCGUGAGUGAUGAAGGCCGUAGGGUUGUAAAGCUCUUUUAUACGGGAUGAUAAUGACAGUACCGGGAGAAUAAGCUCCGGCUAACUCCGUG
rnacentral:rRNA from 1 species